UGUUCCCCAAACUUAAUUUGUUUAUUUUAUUGAUAUAUAAACAAAAUGUUAUUUAUUUAUUCAGCAAACAUUUAUUAAAUACCUCGUAAAUAUUAGGCACUAUGUCAGGCACAGGAAUAAUAAUGACAAUAAAGUUUGGUCCCUGAUCUCAAGUUGCUGGCAAUCUAGGAGACUGACAAGUAAACAGGUGAUUACAUACACAGUAACAAAGGCUAUGAUGCAAGAAUACACAUGGGACUAUGUGAUGGGACUAUGGCUUUCACCAGUUCCUCUUGGAUUUAUCUCUUCUUCUUUGGCUCCAGAACCAAGGAAUUAGCCCUAUUUUUGUCUUUAACUGGGUAGUUUAAAUCAUGAAAUUUUAAAAAAUUUGUAGAGAUGAAAGAAAAACACCUGGAAUUAUGGAAGACACUAGAAAUAGUACUUUUUUACAGAACAAGGGCUUCCUACCAGCAUAGUCACUUCUAGGGUUUUUAACCUGAAAAGUUCUUUGGCAUAUUUUUUCUUUGCUAGCCACUUUUUUUUCUAUUUUUUUUUUUUUGUUUGUUUCUCUUCUCCACUUUAUCAUCUAGAGACCUGGGUAGUUCCCAAUGAGAGAGUGUUUUACAGAUGCUAAGGGUGAUUUACAGGUAAAGACAGAAAAUGAUUUUUUUUUAAACUUUCACGUUCCGUACCAAAAAAAAAUGAAUAUAAGCUUUCAUGGAAGUAAUUGAAAAUGCAGAUAAUUUAAAUUCCAUUCCAUUUUUCAGAAUUCUCAAUCGUAAUCCUUUGACAACAGUUGAAGAUUCUUAUCUUUUUAAAUUGCCAGCAUUAAAAUAUUUAGACAUGGGAACAACACAAGUGUCACUUACAACAAUUGAAAGCAUCCUCAUUAUGACCCUUGAAUUGGAAAAACUCUCCCUCUGGAGGAAGCCAGCCAUCAUGUAGUGAGGACAUUCAAUCAAGUAGCAGGUGGACAGACAGGCCCAUGCAGGGAGGAAAUGAGGCCUCCCACUAACAACCAGCACCACCCUGACAGCCAGGUAAGGGAGUGAACCAUCUUGGAAGUGGACCCUGCAGCCUCAGUCCAGCCAUCAGAUGACUGCAGCCCUGGCCGAUAUCUUGAGGACCUCAUGAGAGACCCAGAGCCAGAACUGCCCAAGAUAUCCCCCUAAAGGCUUGACUCAGAAAUUGUGAGGAAUAAAUGUUUAUUGUUGUUUUGAGCCACUAUUUUGGUGUGAUCUGUUACAUACCACCAGAUAAUCAAUACACUGUCUGAUUCAGGGGUUGAACCAGACAGACUUGAGACUCUCAGUAUUUUGAACUGGCAUAUUAGUGAAUGAUGCCCUUGUAACAGUUGGGGACUUCGGUCCUGGGCUCCAAGUCGUUUCCUCUACCACAAUCUUUUUUUUUUUCCAAUAAGUAUACCACAGCUCUAAUACUGUUGGACUUUAUUUUUAAAAGAUGUAAAUGACUAAUCCUAUCCCAGGGUUUCAUUUGGGAACACAGUUUCUUUUUUCUUUUUUCCUUUUUUUUUUCACACACACACACACACACUGUAUUUUA